rnacentral:lncRNA from 1 species
AAAAUAAUAACUGUGUUUUUCAGUGAACGGUGAUCGUGUGAUGGCAGAUCUGAGAUUCAUUGUCUUUCCUUCUGAAUGUUUAUUUGCUGCAUCUCUGCUGAUUUCUGGAUUCUCAGGAUCCAAGAUCGCAAGCUGUCUGAAGUCUUGUCAGAGCAAAGUGAGAUCUAUACGAGUCAAAAGAUCACAGCAGAACCAGAGCACAGAGAUGAGUCCUCUGAAUACUGGAGAUCAGGAGCAGAAUCAGCCUGACUCAGUGCUGUCUCAAAUAUGAGAGAGAUUAUUACAGAGUGAUCUUGAGGCACAAUCUCCUGCAAAGCUGCUUUGAGACGACACAUGGAUUGUGAAAAGCACCAAACAAUCAAACAAUAACUCACUGAUGUUUGAUCAGAAUCUCAUGUGUUUCUACACUGAUCCGCUGAGUUCAGUGUACUGAUGUUACUCACUGUUAAUAUCAGUGGUUUUGCACUGAGAGCUCUGUAUUUUGAUUGUGUUUUUUGUUUCUUUUGUUUUUUUUUGUAAAUAGCUGUAAAUAUAUGCAGGGUAUGUUUUAGUGUGUUGAAACACUUUUACUUUGUAUAUAUGUGAUGCUGAUUUGUGAUUUAAAGGGGUCAUAUGACGUUGCUAA